AUUGAACGCUGGCGGCAUGCCUAACACAUGCAAGUCGAACGGUAACAGGCCUUCGGGCGCUGACGAGUGGCGGACGGGUGAGUAAUACGUAGGAAUCUGCCUUUUAGUGGGGGAUAACUCGGAGAAAUCCGGGCUAAUACCGCAUACGCACUACGGUGGAAAGCAGGGGAUCGCAAGACCUUGCGCUAAUAGAUGAGCCUACGUCGGAUUAGCUUGUUGGUAGGGGUAAUGGCCACCAAGGCGACGAUCCGUAGCUGGUCUGAGAGGACGACCAGCCACACUGGGACUGAGACACGGCCCAGACUCCUACGGGAGGCAGCAGUGGGGGAAUAUUGGACAAUGGGGGCGAACCCUGAUCCAGCAAUGCCGCGUGUGUGAAGAAGGCCUCGGUUGUAA
rnacentral:rRNA from 1 species